AAAAAAAAAAAAAAAAUUCAGACGCUUUUCUGCUAUGUUUUAAACUGAAAUGGGACCCCGGGGCGUGACAGUCGCUAUAAACUAAAAGAGUGCUGCUAAUUUACCAGCACUUAUUUAAGUAUUUAGCAACCGCCGAAACUCUAUCUCGUUGGCUGCGGUGGCGGAGGAGGACGACAGGAAAGGCUCUUAGUCUUGAAUUUCAGUGGAUUGAGUGAAGAGAGAAAAGAAAAGAUGGUAAUUGAUUUUUUUUUUUCUGUUUGUAAUCGGGCCAAAUGGACUGGGUGUGGUGAGUUGAGUAGAGUAAUAUUUUAUUUUUGGUUGGAUUGGGCUUUAUAUUUAGGCAUUAGUAGAUGUUUUUUUAAGUUUUAGGAUAAAUGGGACACUUACUCAAAAGUGUCCUAAACAUGUGUCCCUAUAAUCUAAUUCUGUUGUAGUGAUUGAUUCAUAUUUUUAGUUAAAUUUAUUUCUAAAAAAAAUAAGUGAAGCGAGUAACAUUCUACCUUUCUUUAAAAAAAAAAAAAAAUUAGUGGUUAUCUAUCUGUUCUAGUGCUUUUGCCUAAUAAUGGUAGUUCUUGUUGUAGUGCCAGCACUACUAUAGUGCUGGUGAUCUCAUUAAUAGACUUUUUUUAUAAAACAACCCUCUAGAAAUUUAAAUUUUGCGAAAUAAUCCUCUCAAGAUUUUAUUUGGAAAACUAACCCUCCUUUCGUCACGUUGGCGCCACGUCAGAAUUUGUUUUAAAGCCGGUGAAUAGUUCCCCGCUUUCUCCUACUUUUUUUAAAGGCAGUGAAUUAUUUUCCGCUUUCUCCCAUUUCUUUUAAAAGCGGUGAUUCACCGUCUUUCAUUUAUUUACUGUUUCUUUCUAUAUCCCAUAUAUAAUCCUAACAACCACAUAAAAAUUUUAACAAAUCACAUAUAAUCUUAACAACCUUUAAAUCUUAAUAAUUUAUCCAUAUAAUUUCAUAUAAUCUUAACAGUCUGAAAAUCCUAAUAAUCUAUCCAUAAUCAAAUAAAAAUUCUAAGAUCUACAUAUAAUCCUAACAACCUCACUUUCACUAUAACAAAAACGGUCUAUAGCGACACUUUUAAAUGUAGGUAUAGGUUAAAAAAAGUGUUGCUGGCUAAAUUACCGACACUUUUAAAAAGUGUUGCUAUAUGUGGGGUCGCUAGGUAUAUAGUGACAGUUAAAGAGUGUCGCUAUAACCUAAAAAAGUGUUGGUAAUUUAGCAACACUUAUUUAAGCAUCUAGUAACCAACGGAACUCUACCUCGUUGGCUGCUGUGGCGGAGGAGGACAAGAGGGAAUGGCUCUUCGUCUAGGAUUUCAGUGAAUUGAGUGAGGGGAGAAGGGGAGAUGGUAAUUAAUUUUCUUUUUUUUUUCUUUUUUAUUUGGAAUCGAGCCAAAUGGGCUGGGUUGGGUGGGUUGAGUAUAGUAACCUUUUAUUUUUGUUAGAUUCGGUUUUAUAUUUAGGCAUUAGUAGAUAUUUUUUUAAAUUUUAAUAUAAAUGGAACACUAAGACAAAAGUGUCCCAAGCAUGUGUUCCUAUAACCUAAUUCUGUUGUAGUGUUUUUUCUAUUUCCUAUAUAAUUCAUGCAUAAUUUUAAUGAAUGCGGUGAACGAUUCACCGUCUUUAAAAGAAAUGGGAGAAAACGGGGGAUGAUUCACCACCUUUAAAAGAAAUGGGAGAAAGCUUGGAACGAUUCACCGCCUUUAAAAAAAAUUGGAGAAAACGAGAAACAGUUCACCACCUUUAAAAGAAAUUCUGACAUGGCGCCGGCGUGGCGAAAGGAGGGUUAGUUAUCCAAAUAAAAUUUUGAUAGAGCCAUUUUACAAAUUUUAAAUUUUCACAGAAUUAUUUUAUAAAAAAAUCUCUCAUUAAUCCUUAAAAGCAUUUAUUUAUUGGCCCAAGUCUUUCAUAAUUUAUAGUGAUGCACGAAUGUACAAUGACCAUGUUGCAAUGAUUAUGCUGGUGUGUGACAGGCAUGUUUUGCACAUUACAUUAAUUGAUGCUUUAAAAUAACAUGUAAUAAUAAAAUCAUAGGGGCGGAUGAAAACAAUGACUUCAAAUUAAGCUCACAAACUUAACAAUGUUAUAUAUAUGUAUCAUUAUUACGCGGAUGCAGGAAACAACGAAGACAGCUAAUUAGAAAGAAAAUUAGCGCGUCUCAAAGAUAUAUGAGAACGUUGCGCAUCCACAAGGUGUGAGCAAUAAGUAAAUUGAAAAGUUUGCGGUGUUGAAUGAUCAAUUGAGUAUAGCUACACUACAACCACCAUGUUGGUGGGCGCCCGUAUGUAGCAAAAGGUCAGGGACCAAGCAAUAUUAACUUACUCAUGCAAUUUACACCCUUUUCCAACAAGUUUGGGACCCAUGUUCCCUGGACCAACAACUGCCGAAGGCCAACGACCACAUCUUUCAGAUCACAUAAGAUCCGAUCGAAUCGGAUUGGAUUGGAUUGGAUUGGAUUGGAGCAACAACCGAUGCAAAAUCCACCACGUACAUAUCUCGCUUUCUCUCUCUUUCCUCUUCCACUAGUAGGUGGUUCUUCCCUUCCACGUUUAGUACGUGGAUCUCGUCCUAUGUUCUUCCGUAUAACCGUGAUAUGUAACAGUUGUAGCACCGACACAGUACUACUUUGCGGGCGUCUCCAUUUUCCAGCGUCGCCGUAUAACCGUGAUAUGUAACGGUUACACGACAUAGUUGAUGUGACGUGCAAUCUUCGUGGAGAUAGACCAGUACGGGUGCGAGAGGCUAAAGGGCGAGGAUCAUACUUUGCGCGUACUAAUUAAGAGAUCCGCCAAAGUAUGCUUACAGUGAGCCGGCCUUCUUAAUUACAAAUCAGUUUCAGUUCAGUGGUACUUUUAUUUUAAUUCUGGACUAAAUUACAAUAAAUUUUCUCAUAAAUAUUUAUUUUUUUAUUUUUUUUGACCUUUUAAAACUUUAUAGUUUGUCCAUUUAAUAUUUUAAGUUGUUCCAUUUAGUUCUCUCCAUCCGCCAAAGUUCAAUCACUAUUCCGUCUAUUUUUUUUAUAAUUUAUAUCAAAAAUAUUUUUUAAAUAAUAAAAAUAUAUUAUAAAUUUAUUUCUUUAAUAAAAAAGUGAGAAUAAUUUGAUCAUUUUGUCCUCUCCAUUAAUACUGUACUCUCUUGAAAAUAUUUCUGAAAUUUUAAGAGGGUAAAAUAUAAAUUUUUAAAAGUCUGAGAGUAGGGACGAAGCUAGGAUUCAAUUUUGAGGGGGGCCAAAAUAUAUUUAAAUAGAAAUUUUAGUAAAAAAUAAUAAACAAAAUUUUUUCUAAUUAAAAAUUUUUUAUUAAAAAAAUAUUAAUUAAAUAAAUAAUGUAAAAGUAUGAAUUUUAUAUUUUUUAUUUUCAUAUAUUUAACUUCUAAUUAUUUUUUUUAUAUUAUUACAUUAAAAUAACUCAGAAAUUUUACUAAAUCUAACAGUAAUUUCUUAGUUUUUUAAUAAAUAAAAUUAACAUACCUAUUAAAUUUAGUGCAAUUUUUGAUUUAGUCAAAUAAAAGAGCUCACCUAAGAUAAAUAAAAGUUUUAAAAAAUUAUUAAAUAAAAUUUUUAGAGUAGAGAAAUAUAUUACAAAAUACUCUAUAAGCAAGAAGCUUUUAAUAUAUUUUCACCUAUAAAAAUUUUAUUUAAUAAUUUUUCAAAACUUUUAUUUAAUAAAAUUUUUAGAGUAGAGAAAUAUAUUACAAAAUACUCUAUAAGCAAGAAGCUUUUAAUAUAUUUUCACCCAUAAAAAGAGUAUACUGAUUAGGAGAAAGAGAAAGAAAGAGUUAUACUGUCACCAUCCUAUUAAGUAAAUAUUGAAAAAUUAGGGGGCUAAAGCUAUCCAUGGUUUAAAAAAAAAAAAUAAAAACUUUUGAAAGACCAUUAAACAAAUAUUGAAAAGUUGAGGGAGGCCAUAGCCACCUUGGGCCUCCAUAUAGCUUCGUCCCUGUCUGAGAGAAAAAUGAAAAAAAAGAUAUUCACAUAAUAGAGUUUUUCUGUAAUCUAGCUGAUGCCGUUAUAUAUAGUAGAAUAUUUGAUAAGAAGAAAAUGUAAGUUUU
rnacentral:lncRNA from 1 species